rnacentral:rRNA from 1 species
GACGAACGCUGGCGGCGUGCUUAACACAUGCAAGUCGAACGGAAAGGCCCUGCUUUUGUGGGGUGCUCGAGUGGCGAACGGGUGAGUAACACGUGAGUAACCUGCCCUUGACUUUGGGAUAACUUCAGGAAACUGGGGCUAAUACCGGAUAGGAGCUCCUGCUGCAUGGUGUGGGUUGGAAAGUUUCGGCGGUUGGGGAUGGACUCGCGGCUUAUCAGCUUGUUGGUGGGGUAGUGGCUUACCAAGGCUUUGACGGGUAGCCGGCCUGAGAGGGUGACCGGAGACAUUGGGACUGAGAUACGGCACAGAAGCCAACGGGAGGAAGCAGGGGGGAAUAUUGCACAAUGGGAGGAAGCCUGAUGAAGAAAAGCAGCGUGCGGGAUGACGGCCUUCGGGUUGGAAACAGAUUUAGAAUGAGACGAAGAGUGAGUGACGGUAAUGGGUAAAGAAGCACCGGCUAACUACGUG